CCUACGGGCGGCAGCAGUGAGGAAUAUUGGUCAAUGGCCGAGAGGCUGAACCAGCCAAGUCGCGUGAGGGAAGACGGCCCUACGGGUUGUAAACCUCUUUUGUCGGGGAGCAAAGAGAGUCACGUGUGACUCAUUGAGAGUACCCGAAGAAAAAGCAUCGGCUAACUCCGUGCCAGCAGCCGCGGUAAUACGGAGGAUGCGAGCGUUAUCCGGAUUUAUUGGGUUUAAAGGGUGCGCAGGCGGAGGUGCAAGUCAGCGGUCAAAUUGCGGGGCUCAACCCCGUACUGCCGUUGAAACUGCAUGCCUUGAGUGCGCGAGAAGUAUGCGGAAUGCGUGGUGUAGCGGUGAAAUGCAUAGAUAUCGCGCAGAACUCCGAUUGCGAAGGCAGCAUACCGGCGCGCAACUGACGCUCAUGCACGAAAGCGUGGGGAUCGAACAGGAUUAGAUACCCGGGUAGUC
rnacentral:rRNA from 1 species